rnacentral:tRNA from 1 species
GGGGUGAUGGCGCAGCUGGGAGCGCGUUAGACUGAAGUGAACUUCAUUCAUUCAAAAAUCUAAAGGUCACCGGUUCAAGCCCGGUUCACCCCA